GAUAGGCCAAUAAUAUCAUCCUUUUGUCUUAUCCAUGGCAAUACCCCUCUGUCAACUCUAACUGCUGUAGUUGUAUAGACCAUGGAUGUGCUCGAUUCCCACCCUGCAACAAACGAGACCGCAACCCAGAUGGAAGAGCCCAAAAGGCAGCGGAGGGAGAGCUUGGUCUCCAAUGACUCGCAAACAGCGUCAGACUUUAUUAAUAGCCAGCUAAGACUCGAGGCCGAUGCGCGAGAAGCUCUCCCAUAUUCUUUUGACUCUUGCACACAGCCUUUGGGUGCGCUCCGUCAAAGUCUCUUCUCUUGUUUGACAUGCAACCCCCCACCUUCAGACCUUGAAUUACCAUACCAGGCCGCGGGCGUUUGCUAUUCAUGCUCAAUCUCUUGCCAUGGCGAACAUACGCUCGUUGAGCUAUUCAGUAAGCGUAAUUUUGUAUGCGAUUGUGGAACGACACGGUUCUCAUCCGCCUCACCCUGUAACCUGCGAAUGACCAACAGAGGAACCAAAGGCACCCAUUCAGAGCAGCCUGCGCCGGGUAACAAGUACAACAACAACUUUCGCAGCCUAUUCUGUGGAUGCGGAGAAUUGUAUGACCCGCACCAGGAGAAAGGAACGAUGUUCCAGUGCCUUGGCCUAGGAACUGUUGAAAACGGAGGUUGUGGUGAAGAUUGGUAUCAUCCCGAGUGCCUCCUAGGUCUUCCACGUAAUUGGGCAGCCGCUGCGAAGAAAGGCUCUCAGAUGGAACCAAAGGACAAAGAAUAUCACCAGCAGGAGCAGCAACAGAAUGGAAAUAAUGAAACUACGGUGCUUGCGCCUGCCAACGAGGAUGCAGAGGAUGAGCCACCCUUACCUCCAGGGUUUCCCGAUGAGGACGAUUUUGAGACCUUCAUUUGCUACAAAUGUGUAGAUGCAAAUCCUUGGAUAAAGGUAUAUGCUGGGACGCCUGGCUUUUUACCUCCAGUUUACAAGCAGGGUGUUCCUCUGCAGAAUGCGCCAAACGGAAAUAUCACGCCGGAAACAGCGGGGGAUGCUGGCGAUGAUACGUCCUCAACAAAUUCCAAGAAGCGUGAACUUGAAGAAAUUUCAGACGACAUGCCCAAUACAAAAAGGCAGAAGGAGGAGCCUUCAACAACGCCCACCUCAGGCCCAGAAGAGAAGUUUACCGAACCUUCAAAGCCUGAGCCCAAGCACAAGUCACUCCCAGCGAAUGCCCCCGCAGGCACCUUCUCACUCUUCCUCAAAGAAGAUUUCCGCGACUACCUCUGCCAUUGCCCUUCUUGUUUCCCCAACUUGAUCCCACACCCUCAACUUCGUGAGGAAGAGGAAACCUACGAGCCUCCACUCUCCCAGACUGGGGAUGACGCCAACGGCGAUGGUAGCCAUCACACGGGAAGUCUUCUGGACCUCGGGGAGGCGGCACUCAGCAACAUGGACCGUGUACGUGCGAUUGAAGGAGUUAUGGUGUAUAACCACUUGAAGGACAAGGUGAAGGCUUUCUUAAAGCCAUUCGCAGAGAGUGGUCAGGCCGUUGGGGCUGAGGACAUUAAAGCGUAUUUUGAAAAGCUGAGGGGAGAUGAUCAGGCGAUUAGAGAGGCGGGGGUGCGGCUUCAGCAUCUGGAUCGCGCAAUGACGGAGACGGUGAAAAUGGCAGUGGCGGUGCAAAUAGGAGAGAGCAGAGUGGUUAUUGAUUCCAUUGAUGGAACAGUUACCCGGCUAUUUCUAGUUGUAUUUUCUAUCUCCUGGAUGGAGCAAGUGUAUUGCAAAUGAAUAACGGACACAAUAGGCACAAUUUACGGACCUCCUUUUAUAUGCUCCGGCGGCGUUGGUUUUCUGACUUUGAAAUUUAUGGAUUUAAUUCUGAUGUCGGCUGGGGCUGUCUUUGAUCUUUUGUCUUUUCUUUUCUUUUCUUUUCUUUUCUUUUCUUUUCUCGUUCAUAUUUUACAGUUAGCUUAGCUACUCUCUCCUCGGGAUAUUCUAUGACCGUAUCUCUCCAGGUCGAAUUUGCUCAGCAAUAUAUUAUUCUUGGAUGGCAGUAGUAGGGGUGUGUGAUUCCAACGCCUCCGCCUUAACUUAUACUCUAGAAACCUAGAUAACUCUAAGCAAGAGAGAAUGCAGCAGUCCCACCAAAGGGCUGCACAACAAGAGAGGUUUUUUAAUAACAUGACGGUUGCACGAAGAUAACGAAACGCUAUUUGCCUUCCCGCAAAUGCAAAACCAGCAUGAACGAGUUAAAUUCGCGGAGUAAACGAAUGUAAUUCGUGGGUACCAUAGCCAUCUAGAAGCUGUAGACUAUAGAAAACCAUGAAGGGAAGAACAAGAAGCG
rnacentral:sRNA from 1 species